rnacentral:misc_RNA from 1 species
AGUCGUAACAAGGUAUCCGUAGGUGAACCUGCGGAUGGAUCAUUACCAAAGGAUUUUUCCUGACGUACUGUGAACUGUAUUGAAUGCAUGGUUAGUGAGUGGAGGUUUUGUAGAGGUUAAUCUCUCUAUUAUUCCACCUCUCUAUUAUUCCACCCUCACUAACCAUAACAAAACGUAUUUACUCCAUAAACUGACGUCUGCUUUAGCUUAAUAAACUAAAGACAACUUUUAGCAAUGGAUCUCUUGGCUCUC